GUGCAUGCUCAGUGAGAUAUACAAACCGCGUGCGCACACACUUCCAAAAACUCACUGGCUCUCCAGUUCUCCAGUGAACGAACGCUGUUUUCUCCGCUGGGAAGUGGAAUCGGAACUUCAGCGUAUGAGCCACGAACUCACGGAGAAACAAUCAAACUAUUGUUGUAACUCCAGCACGACAGCUCCACUCUUUAUAUCUUACACCAUCUGCGGAUAAAUCAAGACCAUAACAGAACAUUAACGCUUGAUAAAGACGAGGCUUACUGACAGGAUGACAGAAGUGAUAAACACCUGUGAUUCGGCGGUGGGAGACUUCAGCAUCGGAGGCACCUCAGGAGAAGAGGGUAUAUCCUCCCAGUGUGUGUGUGUGUGUGGGUGGAGACAGGUGUGCUGGAGGCAGAGCAGAUCCCCACCAGCUGC